AUACAUAUUGCCCAUUUUACUCGCAUUUUACUAGAUUUGCUGGUAUGUCUGAAACAUACUGGAAAAACUUGUAAUUAGAAGACACGAAAUGUUGCUAAUUGACAAAUUGAGAGAUGAAAUUUGUGAAAAAAAAUCGCGUUCUGGUGGGAUUUGAACCCACGACUCCGUAUUCGCUAGACCGGUGCUUUAACCAACUAACGUCGAGCUCUCGACGCAUACUAAUUAGACACCAGCAAAACAAACUGCCUGGUGGCUAGGUAUGCGGAGUGCGAGAGUAAGUCUCGGCUUCAUAUAAAUAAUUCGCUCGCACUUGUAGUUAGUGGCCACAAACAGGAGUGUGUUGUGGAUUGACAUCUAAGCCGAAAGAGAGAUGAGUUUGUGAAAUAGGAAUGUUCACGGUGCGGCUUCGGAGUCAGUUUGGCUUUCUAUUCCACAGAACCAUUACCUGUUCUGUGGAUUAGUUGGUUAAAGCGCCGGUCUAGCGAAUACGGAGUCGUGGGUUCGAAUCCCACCAGAACGCGAUUUUUUUUCACAAAUUUAAUCCCUCGAUUUGUUAAUUAGCAACAUUUCGUGCCUUCUAAUUAGUUUUUCCAGUAUGUUUCAGACAUACCAGCAAAUCUCUAUAUCCUGGACCGACCGGGAAUCGAACCCGUCACCCUCAGUAUGGUCAUGCUGAAUACCCGUGCCGCAGACAGACGUUCUAGCUCGAACAAAUUUAUUCAAAUUUUCUAUGUAAAUUUUCACUAGCGACACCUAGGCAACCGAUUGCCACAGUGCAGUCGCGUGCAGUUGACAGUUUGAGAAACGACGUGCUUCCAGCCGCUUACUUACCACCCAAUUCACCACCCACCGAAAAAUAAAA